CCUACGGGAGGCAGCAGUGGGGAAUAUUGGGCAAUGGAGGAAACUCUGACCCAGCGACGCCGCGUGCGGGAUGAAGGCCUUCGGGUUGUAAACCGCUUUCAGCAGGGAAGAAGCGAAAGUGACGGUACCUGCAGAAGAAGCACCGGCUAACUAUGUGCCAGCAGCCGCGGUAAUACAUAGGGUGCAAGCGUUGUCCGGAAUUAUUGGGCGUAAAGAGCUCGUAGGUGGUUCGUCACGUCGGAUGUGAAAAUCUGGGGCUUAACCCCAGACCUGCAUUUCGAUACGGGCGAGCUUGAGUAUGGUAGGGGAGUCUGGAAUUCCUGGUGUAGCGGUGGAAUGCGCAGAUAUCAGGAGGAACACCAAUGGCGAAGGCAGGACUCUGGGCCAUUACUGACACUGAGGAGCGAAAGCGUGGGGAGCGAACAGGAUUAGAUACCCUGGUAGUCCACGCCGUAAACGGUGGGCACUAGUUGUGGGGACCUUCCACGGUCUCUGCGACGCNGCUACGCAUAGUGCCGCCGUGGAGUACGAGUCGCGAGAGUAAACGUACGUAAGUUAAGUUAGUAGNGUUGAGACGNGCGAGGACGACGACGAGGAGAGG
rnacentral:rRNA from 1 species